rnacentral:ncRNA from 1 species
AUAAGGAUUCCAUGCGCCUUCGAGGCGCGGGAGGCCCCACGCAGAACACGUGGUUGAUAGGCCGGAGGUGGACACCCCGUAAGGGGCGGAGCCGACCGGUACUAACGGCCGAUGACGACACGAU